UUUGCAAUUAUGGGGAUAUUAUGUUACUUAUAUGCAGUGAAAAAAUAUGAUAAAAAAAUAUCAUAUUUAUUUCCGUACGUAAUAUCUCAAUAAAUUAAUUACAGAAAUCUUCUGCAGCCCCACCGAAAAUCUCAGAAGCAUAUCCCUAGUUAUUAAUUUGCUUUCGUCCCAACUUCAUUUUAUUUAUUAAUAUUAUAUAGACCUCAAUACCAAAUAGACUCUAAAUAUACAGAUAGAGCUUUUAGAGUUUGUUUGGAUGCUAGUAAAAAU
rnacentral:lncRNA from 1 species